GACGAACGCUGGCGGCGUGCUUAACACAUGCAAGUCGAACGGAAAGGCCCUGCUUGCAGGGUACUCGAGUGGCGAACGGGUGAGUAACACGUGGGUGAUUUGCCCUGCACUUCGGGAUAAGCCUGGGAAACUGGGUCUAAUACCGGAUAGGAGCCAUUUUUAGUGUGAUGGUUGGAAAGUUUUUUCGGUGUAGGAUAAGCUCGCGGCCUAUCAGCUUGUUGGUGGGGUAAUGGCCUACCAAGGCGGCGACGGGUAGCCGGCCUGAGAGGGUGGACGGCCACAUUGGGACCGAGAUACGGCCCAGACUCCUACGGGAGGCAGCAGUGGGGAAUAUUGCACAAUGGGCGCAAGCCUGAUGCAGCGACGCCGCGUGGGGGAUGACGGCCUUCGGGUUGUAAACUCCUUUCGCUAGGGACGAAGCUUUUUGUGACGGUACCUAGAGAAGAAGCACCGGCUAACUACGUG
rnacentral:rRNA from 1 species